GUGUUCGCUUCGGCAGCACAUAUACUAAAAUUGGAACGGUACAGAGAUUAGCAUGGCCCCUGCGCGAAGAUGGCACGCAAAUUUGUGAAGCGUCCCAUCAAAAA
ensembl:snRNA U6 U6 spliceosomal RNA